GGAUGUAUCCUCAUUACAUGUGC
rnacentral:siRNA from 1 species